AUCAGAAUGAAGGAUUUCAUUGCAGGGAAGAAUGCCGGAUUCUUGGCCACUCUGACAGGUGCUGGAUGCCCCGGAACCCCAUGCCCACCUGCUCCAAGUCCCCUGAGCAUGUGAGGAACAUCAUCACGCUGUCCAUCGAAGCUACUGCUGCUGAUGUUGAAGCUUAUGACGACUGCGGCCCCACCAAGCGGACUUUCGCAACCUUUGGAAAGGAUGUCAGCGACCACCCAGCUGAGGAGAGGCCCACCCUCAAAGGGAGAAGGACUGUUGAUGUGACCACCUGUAGCCCCAAGGUCAACAGCGCUAUCCGGGAGGCGGGCAAUGGCUGUGAGGCUAUUAGCCCUGUCACUUCCCCUCUGCACCUCAAGAGCCCUCUGCCUACCAAGCCUUCUGUGUCUUACACUGUUGCCCUGGCACCCCCUGCGCGUGAUCUGGAGCAGUAUGUCAACAAUGGUCCUUCUCGUCCCUCUGAAGCUGAACCCCGUGGAGCUGAUGGCGAGAAAGUUGUGCAUGAGGUCAACCCCAUUCUGAAGGAAGGUCGAGACAAAGAGUCUCCUGGUGUGAAGCGUCUGAAGGAUAUCAUUCUCUAAAUCAGUUCUGGGGAAGAAGAAAGAGAGAAACCAUGCUGGCUAGCUAAGAAGCAGUAGCUGAUCCUUGUAAUUGUUCACCAAUGGUUGGUUCUUGAGUGGCUGUAUUUCAGAGCUUUCCCUAAAUGUAUUGUUUAUAAAUGACUAUCAAUCUGUGACAAUCCCUCUCGUUUCAACAGGCAGCAGGGGUGUUCCGUUGGAGCAAAUUAGCUUUGGCUUGAGUCGUUCAUGAGGCCUUGAUGUUGGGGAAACAGAGACAAAUUCAGUUGUAAAAAGUAUUAUGUAUUAAGUGUUUGAAUUUAUAUAUUUUUCUAUGUCGAAAUUAUAAUAAAAAUUACCAUUGUUUGUGGAGGAUUACAUUUAAAAAAAGCAAAAAAAAAAAAAAAGGCUCUGGACACCUUUAAUAAGUUUGCCACUGUUUUGUAGUGUAGACAAGUUAAUGGUCAUUUAUUGUGUACUAUUCAUUGAUUUGGUGAUGUGAAAUUGAGUCCCCAAAUGGUUGUUUCUGAAGCUCAAGUACUUUCCAAUGCCUCUACUUUGCUGUGGACACCCCUGCUUUAAAGAACCCUUUUGCUAGCUGUGCUAUUGUCGUAUUUGAUAUUGCAAAUUGCUACGUGUGUGGUGGUGGCAAAAGGCUUAUAGAAAUUGGUGUUUUUUUCUUAAAAAAAAAAAAAAACUACAGACAAAACAAAGUGCAAACAACUGAGAUGGCAAGUGAGUGAGUAAUGCCACAUGUAUAGGCUGAGUCCUUGGAGGGUACUCAUUCACAUAGGAUACCCACAGAAUGGUUGCUCACCACUUUGCAGAGUAUUUUUCCUGACUUUCAGGCUUCUGCCCAGAUCCAUGAUAGAUCAUUACAGAAAGUCAUUUUUGGAUAUUCUGCUAUCUAAUUUGCAGUUGUCAGAAAUAUUGUGCUGAAAAUUUUAUGAGAUCAGUUUUUCUGAUUUUCAGGCCCUGAACAGGAAAGUUGCUCCUGAAGUUAUCAGUUUCCAGGCUUAGAAAUUCCCUAUCUCCAAUCAUCUAAAACUCAAAAAGACUGAAUCUAUUGUGGAUUUUAAAUUAGCAUCCUUUCAGACACAUACUUCCUGAUUCAGUGCUUCCCAAACACGAUUAGAAAUUAGAGUGCAAAGCACGUCAUGGACUGGAAUUGAGAACUCCAUGUGGCUCUGUAUCAUAGGAGUAUAAAUAGGAACAGAGUAAGCAGUACAAAGUGUAUGUUUAGGAAAAGACAGGUAACAGAUAACAGCAUCCCUAAUCCAAUUAUCGUGCCUUCUGAAUGGAGACACUUGGACACUUGAACUCGUAUUUAUGAGUGAUACAUUUUUUAAAUUAAAAAUGUGAACAGGAAACUAUUAAAAUUAAAAUCCUUUAGAUUUAGCCAACUCUUUGCUGUAGGCUAGGAAUACACCAUUUUUAUUAACAAGUUUGUUACACACAUUCUUUCUCGGUUUAACAUUCCUCAAACUCCCCUUUUAUUAACUGUCUAUUAAUAUUCACUAGCCAACAUAGUAUUCUUGCAGCCUAAGAGUUCAUAAUUUAAAAACAAAUAUGUCACCUUUGCUCUGUCUUGCUCUUAAAAGAGUUGUUUCUAGAGAAACAAGUUUUGUGGUUAUGUUCUCAUUUGUUUCACUUUUUGAAAUUCAAGAAUACACAAAGAAAAAGGCUUAGAGUAUUAAGAAUGCAAAAGAUGAUUUAUUUUCUUAAGUUAGGUAGAUAAGUCCACUCUUUUAAAUGUUUUAGUUAUUUUUGCCUGAGUUCCUGCUUUAUACAUUAACUGGGAACAUUUUCUUUUGUGGAAAGGAGGGUUUGAGGGAGGGGGCUGGGUAAGGCAGUGGGAAUGGGGUUAGUAGGGGAGAAUAUUUCUGAAAAAGAAGUUAUAAAUGAAGCUACAAAUUCAUCCUUAUUUCUUAUUCAGUGCUGAAUACUACCUCAUACAGAAUAUUGGUGUGACUGCAAAUUUUCCCCUGAAACUGACACAAUUAGAAAUCAAUUAUCAUAGCAUCUUCAUUUUGGCUCAUUUAAUUCUCUUGCUUUUCCCCCUUUAACUCAUUUCAUUUUAGUAGUAGAUUGUGAAUUAAGUAUUUAUUUGUUUGCAAGUGAAUAGUUUAUUUAGCAUGUUAAAAAUUAACUUUUUUUUUCUAUUUUAUUUAUGAUGGCUGCCCAUAGAAUUUAGACUGUUCCUCCACUGAUCCAUCCAGAUAUUAGCUAUACUGUUAGCUACCACCUCACUUUCAAGUCAGAUUUGACAGCUUUUGUACAGGUGUAUUUCUUAUGUGCUCAGUGGGGAUGAGGGAGCUGAAAAGAUCGUGGCAAGUGAGAACAUUCAAUGUUAUGUGGCCACUGGCUGCCAUGUCUCUUACCAGCCAAAUUGAAAAUGGUUAAUGUAGCAGUGACAUUGAUUCUGCUUGUCUCUUGUGUUCACCCCCCCGCCCCAUUUUUUUCCCCCCAGAAUUCAGUUUCAAACAAUAGGCCAAUCCUUUUUCCUUCUCAAAAUACUUUGUUCACAAUGGGCAGUCAGAUAUUUUUUGGCUUCCAAAUCCUUUACUGAGUUUGUUCAGAGAAUUUCCCUCAUUAAGAAAAUAUCUUUUUUUCCCCUCUACAGUUGUCUGAUGUAUACAUCCUCCCAGAAGCACAAGUGCAUCCUAGGAGGGCUUUGUAUGCUGGUUUUAUAGUCAGGCUGUGCCUGCAAAAAGAAAUUUUGUGCAAGGAUCCUAACUUUCCCUUUUGGUUCAUGUUUUUCUCUCCUUUCCAACAUGUCUGAUGAAAAGCCACAAAGGCCAGAGGGCCAAAUAUUUUCCCUUUUUAUCCUCUCUAAAUAUGUUACACACUUAAAUAUGAGGGAUCAAUUUCAGUUUCUAAAUCUUAGGGAGUUCUAUUCCACUUAUUCUGAUGUCCCUUUCAGGGAGGAAUUGACGUUUUAGGUGUGUUCAGGUGUGACAUAUUGAGGUAUGACAUGCUCUACUACUAACUGCUUUGGGCAUGUCCCUGAGCAGGUGAAUGGUUUCAUGCAAUAUAAACAGGUUAGUUUGCAUUGAUCAAUCGCUUCUCCCCAAAUAUGGGAACAUGGUAUAUACAUACAAGAAAUAGGAAGAAGGGAGCCGUGCUGUGUGGAGUCUCUUUUUUCUUUUCUCUAUACUGACUAAUCUAUGAACCCGUUCAGAAGGAAACUUACCAUCCCUUGGAUUCUCUUAAAGCCAGUAGAGUAAAUUAUGGCCCACUUUAUUGCCCAAAUAGGCAAUGGGCCAAGGGACCCCACACUUCCUGAAAGGCAGUGGUUUCAAGGUGUAGUCCUUGGACCAGCAGUACUAACAUCACUUGGGAACUUGUUAAGAAUGGUAAUUCUCUGUCCUCACAAAGACCAACUGAAGCAGAACCUCUGGGGGUGAGACCUAACAAUUUAUAUGAAUCAAAUGCCCACUAAAGGUUGAGGACUUGAUAAAGCACAGGUUGAUGGGCUCUGCACUUAAAGAGUUUCUGGCUCAGUAGGUCUGGAGUGAGGCCUGAGUCUUUGCUGAUUUAAAAAUUCCCAAGUGAUGCUGAUGCAUCUGGUCCAGGGAUCACAUUUUAAGUAUCACUGCUCCAGUGUAAACCUGCCUAGUAGAGCUAAUUGCACCUAAGGUGUCCAUUUAGACUGAUAAGUUGGUGACCCAUUGAUCACUGCUCAAAAAUAUUGGAGGAGUACAACUUAGAACUCUGAAAACUGGAGCCAUCCAGUGUCAUCCCAAUAGUGUUACUUCAACAUACACCUGAUUGAAGGGAAUUCAGUUGAACUUUUCAUACUGCUCUAUUAUAUUAACGAGCAAAACAAAAGUGGUCCAGUUGAAGCAUCAAGGGCAACGGGCAGUUUUGGGAGACACAAGUGUGUAAGGAUAGCUUGACUGGGCAUCUGGUGUGGGAAAAGGAUCAUUACUGUACAUAAUAGAAGUUCUGGCUGGAAUUCCAAUUCACUCUAUGAGGAUCAUUUUGAUGUUGAAUGGUCCCAGAGCAUCCUGACAAGUCUGGUCCACUUGGCUCUUUAUCCAGGAUAAUAAGACCCUAACUGACUUUGAAAAACUGGCAUAAAUGAGCUUAAAAAGUCCAUUGUAUACAGUCCUAGUGUUUGCCUUCUCAGUAAAAUUACAUUUAAGGAUGUCAUUUCAUGAGUCAAAAUUGUAUCUGCUGACACUAAAGUGUAUUGAGAUGUUGUUCUUUAGUUUAAGUAUGUAACAAAGUAAUAUUCAAAGGGGAUGUGUGGGGGUGGGGCUGGGACUGGGUGGCUUUAUAUUGAUACUGAAAUAUUCCAGAGCAAAACACAUUGUCCUAAUGAAGUUGUUGCAGCUCUCUUUAUUUUCUUGUGAAGCUGGAAUUGGCCUGUGGGUCACAUGUUGUGUAAAAGUGAAUUAAUUUCCAAUUGAACUCAUAUUGCUUUUUGUAAAAAACAAAGAAAAUCAACCACCUUGUCUGAAAUAUAUAUUGUAAGGUGCUCUUGGUAAAGAACAACCCACGAAAACCUGAUCUUGAUUGGAAAGCAUUGUAGGUCAUUAGGGAAAACUGAUGAUGCUGAUUGUUGCUCCAGCUGUAUUGGCAAUUAAAAAUGACCUUGUUACUAACUGAAAGUUGCUGUCAACCUUAGCAAACAAACCAGCUAACACCAUUACAGCACUGGUUAAGUAGAUUUUUACUGGCACUGGCUGGCGUUCAGCUGAGGAAGGCUAGAAUGCAGACUUUAAUGACCAAGAGCCAGACUAGCUUGAGCUAGAAAUUCAGCAACAAAUACCUUCUUGUGCUAUUUGAAUGCUAAGGUAUUAGUUGCAAAAGGCUUACGCCUUCGCUCCUCUAGUGAGGGGAAUGAGCCUGAUGACACUAUUACUGUUUACCUGUCAAACCAGGGUGGAAAUUUAGAGGGAUGCAAGUACAGUAUGUUUCAUUAAGCAGUCUCUGUUGCUGACUAUAUGAAGGUGAAAUUGUUGUAUAUGCUGAUCUGUAUGUUAUGUACAUUUUCACAGUGAUUGAAUCAUUGUAGAAAGAAAAAAAGACAAAAAGAAUCACCGCUCUAUUUUAUGAAGAUGAUAAAGCAGCUUUAUUAAAUUAUUACAGUUAUGUUUUAAAUGGUGUUAUCUGCCACAUUGUUUCCUUUUAUCUGGUGGUUCUCUGUUUUCCCCUUAAAUGUGUUUUCUCUGCUUCAAAAAUUUAAUGCAUUUUAGUAUUAAAGGCUAUUAUGGA